AUGUUGCAGGGAAAACCUGAGCAACAGACUAGCCGGUCUUUCCGUUGCGAGUAUCCUACGAUGGUCAAAUUACUAAGAGCUAUAGACAAUGGAUGGUACACUGUCGAGCACCGGUCAAGUCACAAUCAUUCCCUGUCUCUUACGUGCGGAGAAAAGGUUCAUUGGCCUUCCCACAAACACAUUGACGUUUACAAAAAAGACUUGUUGAAACAACUUAGGGCAAACAAUGUGAACCUCAACAAGGUGUAUAUCAUAGUUGGCAGCUUCUUCAGUUCAUCACAGGGCGCACCUUUCACAAAAAGGUCAUUGCGCAAUCUGUGUGGGCGAAUAAGCUGAGACCAAGCUGAUGACGAUGUCAACAAAACCCUAGCCGUGUUCAAAGAGAUUCAGCAGAAUGACACGGAAUUCACCUACAGAGUCCAGGGCGAUGAAGAGAGCAGAAUCAAAAACCUUAUGUGGACAAACAGAAACAACAAGUUCCAGUACAAGUUCUUCGGCGAUGUUAUCACAUUCGAUAUGAUGUAUCGGAAAAACUUGUAUGACAUGCCCUUUGGUUUGUUCGUUGGAGUGAACAAUCAUUUUCAAAGCAUAAUACUAGCUGGUAUUCUGAUGCAUGAUGAACAAGUCGAGAGCUUCUAA
rnacentral:rRNA from 1 species